GACGAACGCUGGCGGCGUGCUUAACACAUGCAAGUCGAACGCUGAAGCCCUUCGGGGUGGAUGAGUGGCGAACGGGUGAGUAACACGUGGGCAAUCUGCCCUGCACUCUGGGAUAAGCCUUGGAAACGGGGUCUAAUACCGGAUAGGACACAUCGCCGCAUGGUGUGUGUGUGGAAAGUUCCGGCGGUGGAGGUGGAGCCCGCGGCCUAUCAGCUUGGUGGUGGGGUGAUGGCCUACCAAGGCGACGACGGGUAGCCGGCCUGAGAGGGUGACAGGCCAGACGGGGACUGAGACACGGCCCAGACUCCUACGGGAGGCAGCCGUGGGGAAUCUUGCGCAAUGGGAGAAAGCCUGACGCAGCAACGCCGCGUGGGGGAUGACGGCCUUCGGGUUGUAAACCUCUUUCGACCGGGACGAAGGAUUAGUUUGACGGUACCGGUAGAAGAAGCACCGGCUAACUACGUGCCAGCAGCCGCCGUAACAC
rnacentral:rRNA from 1 species